GGAGGGAUGGCCGAGUGGUCUAAGGCGGCAGACUUAAGAUCUGUUGGACGCAUGUCCGCGCGAGUUCGAACCUCGCUUCCUUCA
rfam:Pichia kudriavzevii strain SD108 scaffold00131, whole genome shotgun sequence.